AUUGAACGCUGGCGGAAUGCUUUACACAUGCAAGUCGAACGGUAGAGGGGGCAACCCCUCGAGAGUGGCGAACGGGUGAGUAAUAUAUCGGAACGUGCCCAGCAGUGGGGGAUAACGUAGCGAAAGUUACGCUAAUAACGCCUACGAUCUAAGGAUGAAAGCGGGGGAUCGCAAGACCUCGAGCGCUUGGAGCGGCCGAUAUCAGAUUAAGUAGUUGGUGGGGUAAAGGCUCACCAAGCCAACGAUCUGCAGCUGGUCUGAGAGGACGACCAGCCACACUGGAACUGAGACACGGUCCAGACUCCUACGGGAGGCAGCAGUGGGGAAUUUUGGACAAUGGACGCAAGUCUGAUCCAGCCAUUCCGCGUGCAGGAUGAAGGCCCUCGGGUUGUAAACUGCUUUUGUACGGAACGAAAAGGUCUCUCUUAAUACGGGGGACUCAUGACGGUACCGUAAGAAUAAGCACCGGCUAACUACGUGCCAGCCGCCGCAGUAACAC
rnacentral:rRNA from 1 species